rnacentral:rRNA from 1 species
AUCCUUUGACCAUCCUAGAGAUAGGACUUUCCCUUCGGGGACAAAGUGACAGGUGGUGCAUGGUUGUCGUCAGCUCGUGUCGUGAGAUGUUGGGUUAAGUCCCGCAACGAGCGCAACCCUUAUUGUUAGUUGCCAUCAUUCAGUUGGGCACUCUAGCGAGACUGCCGCAGACAAUGCGGAGGAAGGUGGGGAUGACGUCAAAUCAUCAUGCCCCUUAUGACCUGGGCUACACACGUGCUACAAUGGAGAGUACAACGAGUUGCGAAGUCGUGAGGCUAAGCUAAUCUCUUAAAGCUCUUCUCAGUUCGGAUUGUAGGCUGCAACUCGCCUACAUGAAGCCGGAAUCGCUAGUAAUCGCGGAUCAGC